rnacentral:rRNA from 1 species
CCCUACGGGGGGCAGCAGUGGGGAAUAUUGCACAAUGGGGGAAACCCUGAUGCAGCGACGCCGCGUGAGUGAAGAAGUAUCUCGGUAUGUAAAGCUCUAUCAGCAGGAAAGAUAAUGACGGUACCUGACUAAGAAGCCCCGGCUAACUACGUGCCAGCAGCCGCGGUAAUACGUAGGGGGCAAGCGUUAUCCGGAUUUACUGGGGGUAAAGGGAGCGUAGACGGCAGCGCAAGUCUGGAGUGAGAUGCCGGGGCUCAACCCCG